rfam:Mus musculus chromosome X, GRC primary reference assembly.
AUCUCUUCUCAGUGUUUUGGCUAAGAUCAAGUGUACUAUCUGUUCUUAUGAGUUAAAAAAGCUUUUUGAGUGCCUAAAAGAGUGAGAGCAAGAGAGCUGGCAGACUGACCAACUCAGAUACCUCUCAGGUUCAGAUCUCGUGCUUUGACUUGACCCAUCUGCAUAUCUACCCUAUCUAUGAACUGUGGGAGCUUAU